UAGGGAAUAUUGGACAAUGGGUGAGAGCCUGAUCCAGCCAUGCCGCGUGCAGGAAGAAGGCGUUAUGCGUUGUAAACUGCUUUUGCCAGGGGAUAAAAAGACCGUGCGCGGUUAAUUGAAGGUACCUGGUGAAUAAGCCACGGCUAACUACGUGCCAGCAGCCGCGGUAAUACGUAGGUGGCAAGCGUUGUCCGGAUUUAUUGGGUUUAAAGGGUGCGUAGGUGGCCCUGUAAGUCAGUGGUGAAAUAUCUCAGCUUAACUGAGAGGGUGCCAUUGAUACUGCAGGGCUUGAGUACAGAUGAGGUAGGCGGAAUUGACGGUGUAGCGGUGAAAUGCAUAGAUAUCGUCAAGAACACCGAUAGCGAAGGCAGCUUACCAAGCUGUAACUGACACUGAGGCACGAAAGUGUGAGGAUCAAACAGGAUUAGAUACCCAAGUAGUCCCUGAGCGGGCUGGCAAGGCGCAU
rnacentral:rRNA from 1 species